rnacentral:rRNA from 1 species
UAACACAUGCAAGUCGAACGGUAACAGGAAACAGCUUGCUGUUUCGCUGACGAGUGGCGGACGGGUGAGUAAUGUCUGGGAAACUGCCUGAUGGAGGGGGAUAACUACUGGAAACGGUAGCUAAUACCGCAUAAUGUCGCAAGACCAAAGAGGGGGACCUUCGGGCCUCUUGCCAUCGGAUGUGCCCAGAUGGGAUUAGCUAGUAGGUGGGGUAACGGCUCACCUAGGCGACGAUCCCUAGCUGGUCUGAGAGGAUGACCAGCCACACUGGAACUGAGACACGGUCCAGACUCCUACGGGAGGCAGCAGUGGGGAAUAUUGCACAAUGGGCGCAAGCCUGAUGCAGCCAUGCCGCGUGUAUGAAGAAGGCCUUCGGGUUGUAAAGUACUUUCAGCGGGGAGGAAGGGAGUAAAGUUAAUACCUUUGCUCAUUGACGUUACCCGCAGAAGAAGCACCGGCUAACUCCGUGCCAGCAGCCGCGGUAAUACGGAGGGUGCAAGCGUUAAUCGGAAUUACUGGGCGUAAAGCGCACGCAGGCGGUUUGUUAAGUCAGAUGUGAAAUCCCCGGGCUCAACCUGGGAACUGCAUCUGAUACUGGCAAGCUUGAGUC